CGGGCCUGGACCUGCCCGGCGCCGGCAGCCCGGUUGCUGGAGGGGAGCCCCGCGGGUGGCGGGGGAGCUUCCCCCUCGAGGAGCCGGGGCGGGGCGGCGGAGGCCGGUUGCCAGUCCCGCGGGGGAAACUCGGCUCCGAGUCGGGGCUUCACGCGGCUCCAGCAGAGAAAACGAGCCAGGAUGUUGACCUUGGAGCUUAUCCCUGUGAAAUGCAACCACUGACGGAAAAAUUCCCCACCUUCUGGUGAAAAAAAGGAAAGCAUCAAACUGAGUUAAAUUGGGUUUGAAACCUGGAGAUGGGAGAGAAGAAUGAAUGAGAGGUGACACUUUUUUCCCGUUAACUAACAAAUAAUUAGCAACCAAGUUCCAUCCAUGGAAAGGCUUCCUCUGCUUUUGGGGCUUCCAUAGCCCAGCUACUACACAGAUUCACGGAGCUGCAAGGAACAGAAGGACCUUACCCCACCUCCUUUUCGAAAGGCAGGGUCAUCUACCUUUUCAUUUAGGCCAGGGACUGCCAAAUAGCUAACAUAGGAAGAUGUACAAUUUGGCCACAGAUUCAUCUACCCAAGGAAAAGCAAAGACAUUUUCAAGUGAUGAAAGGCAGAGAUAUUCUGAAUGUUGGGUGUUUCCAGAUGAGACUUUUAUGGAGAAAUUGCCCAGCCUCAUUUGUGGAAUUAUAUAGGGUGAUCUAAAUGAGGCUGGCUGGUUUCCAAAUGGAACCUACCUGUGUUUUCCCUACAAUUAUUCUUUUUUUUUUUCCUUUACCACUGAAAACCAAAGAGGGAAAGAAGGACUAACUGUACGAUGUUUUCUGAUUGGGAGUGUUAAGAACCCUCUGGAGGUAACGUGCAAGAAAGUUUGCUUAAAAUACAUUUCAGAUUCCAGAUCAAUACUCAAACUCUGAGGGUGAGUGAGAAAUCUUAAACAUUCCCUACCAAUUGCAAUGUUUUCCUUGGCUGGUAUUUUUUAAAAAGCUACAGAGCACAUACUCUGGCUUUAAUGAGAGAUAGUCCAUUCAGAGUUGCCUCCCUCUGUUCAUAAUUCUAGGAGAGAAAACCUAUACUACUUUUGGUACCCAAGGAUACAGAACUGGCUUUCUUAGUUUUACACUACAGUACUUUGCUUCUUCUGUAAGCAAAGAAAUAGCGCACUGCAAAAAAAAACACAAUAGUUCUAGAUGCCCUCAGAGGGACUUCCUUUGGGGGGGGGAAUCUUUCACUUUCAUAGAAUUGAUGUACAUAAUUCUAAAAAUAUAUGGAAUUGCUCAUGGACAUAAUCAAAAUAUAUCUAUCAAUGCAUGACAAGGCUACAUCUUCAUAGCACUCAGCCGAUUGCUUUUAAUUAGAUUUUUUUACACUUCUACUGACCAUUUGGAGAAAGUUAUAUAUGAACCUUCUUUGACCAAAACAGUGAUUGGUUAUAAUUCCCAAACUGCCAGAUUAAGAGUCUUUUGGUGCAGACAGACAAUCAGAGAUAGCCAAUACCCCAUCUGAUAAAAUUAAUACUACCUUGCAAACUUCUGGCUUAUGCAAGCUAGCUCCUAGUAAUGUCUUCCUAUAAAAUGGACCUCAAAUGUGAUUGUGGAGUUGGAAGAUCAUGUCAGCUUGUCUGCUUCCAGCCUUAUAUCAUAAAUUCAAUAUCUUUUCUCUUAUUCUUUUGUCAUUUGGUUUAUCAUCAUUAUCUAAGAUACUGGACAGGUCAUGUGGCACAUAUCCAUAACUAAUCAACCAUCAAUUCAAUUCUCCAGGUGACCCCUACAUGUAAGUCCUCAAUGAUGAAGUAGGACAGAAGCAUUUUUAAUCAUCUCAUUCUUUUGUUCACUAUGCAGCACCCUGAUUUCUAUCCUUUCCUUUCCCACAUAUCCCAGUAAUAAAAGAUCUUCUGAUCUGGAAUGGGAAGUUAAAGAUAUCUUUAGACAGUUUUAACAGAUUCAGUUCUCCUCCCCCUGCUCCUUUUCCCAUUUUCCACCUGGAUCUGAGAAUCAGUAGCAAUCUCAGAGUUCUAGUGAAAGAAAGAAAAUGUAGAAUUCUCAGAUCUUCCUUUUCUCAGCAGCAUCCUUUCCUCUAGUGCUGAGCUUCACAUUUAGUCCAAGUUCAGGUUUUUGUCAAACUGUGUUUUUUGGCGUUUCUCUCUAGUUUCUGUCAGAAGCCACAUUCUGUUUAUUUGUCCCCUACCAGCUGGUUGGCAUCCCUGAUAAUUCUUUUCUUGCCCCACCUGGCCACGGUGACUGGAAAUCCCAGGACUACUGUCCCAACACAUCAGGAAGAAGUUUUAGGGAAGAAUAUUCUUGAGGAGAUACUCCAUGUCCCACCCAAAUUGAAUAUCAAGACAAGGCUGGUGACAUUCACCCUUCAGAUCUUAUAUGCUCAGCUGCCUAUAGCUGAUCACACUACUUCAGCUUUGGUCUUCUUUCCCAAAGCCACACCUGUCUCAGGAUCCAAUUCCUACUUCAGGACUGGAUUCUUUUCCACUGCUCCAAAUUGGAUGAAAGGAAAGGAAAGUGUUGGGAUAUUGGCAACAAUCAGUAGUGGCUGGUGAGUAAUGACAACUGGAUGGAGAAGAAUUCAUUCCAGUUUCCUCCUAGGAACAUGCUUUAUAUGUUCAGGUCAUACUAUUUCUCCAUCUAGAACAGUAUACAUCUCCUCUGAUAGCAACAGCCCUUGUUCUUCUUUAAGAAUCUUUCCCACCAUCUCUCCCAUCCUUUUAAUAUGGCAGUGCUGGACUCAAUAUGGGUUCUUCUGCAGACAAAAGUUUGCUUAAGCACUUGGCUUUGGACCCUCCUGUAUCUCAGCAGAAGCUGGAUCACAAAUGAAGCUCAUAGCAUGGAAAUAACUGGCUAAACAACCUAGUUUCCUCUGCACUACAAAACCCACGAGCCCCAAUCACCAAAAGUCAAUGGUCAAACAUUCUGAGAACUAUUGUUCAAUAUGUCUGGAUUGCACUAGAGAUGUGUAACCCUCAUCUGAAUAUGAUGAUCUCUUCAUCUGGACAAUCCUUGCUGACAAUGCUGCCUUGAGCUUCUGAAGGAAAGAUGGGAUACAAACGUAACAAACGAACAAAUGAAAUCAAAAUACUGCUAAGACUGCAGUGAUGAAGCAGGACUAAUGCUAGCAAGCUUAAUUAGAGCACAAGAGGAUCAAGCGCUCUGAAAGCAGAAAACAAAAACAAGCCCCUCCAGAUCUUUUACCAACCAUUAACAGAUGUCACUGGGUUGCUCUACACCCAUGAAGACUAGAAACUUGUGUGUGUGCAUUGUUUUUAAACCCAUAGUUCUCAGGUGUCUGAAACAUCCCCAGAUUUCUCAGCAGAAAUGUAAUCUAUUGACUCCAAGUAGUACAAGCCCUGCAAAAACUGAAUACUGUUCAAGAUGAUCUGUAUUUUACCAGAAGAAAGCUUACCUCAUAGACUGUGAACUGACUCUGGGCACGAGAGAGCUCCCGAUAGCUUGUGGCAAACUCUCCAAUGAAAUCAUGGCUGCAGGGACAACAAAAAAGAAGUAAUGCAAUGCUUCAACGUUGAUGUAGCUUGGACCUACGACUGGAUUGAGCGGGUUUAUGGAUAAAGUGUGUUUUGAGCAUCCCUCAUCCCGCCCUGGAGAACCCAGGAUUCUUAAUUACUCCACCCACCCAAUCCACUUAAUCUUCUUUGCUCCACAGGGUGCAUUUACAAAUGCAGCAGAACGAGCUGGUAAAGAGACUUGUACCGCUUCAAACUGCAGGUGGGGGCGGGAGAGGAUUUUGAGUGCUUUGCCGUGUCCAAAACCCAAACUCAGCAAAGAGAAAAUAAUCAAAGCAAGGAGUGGGCAGAGAAAAAACCUCUUUCUCUUUCUCUUCAGAUUUCACCCCUUACAGAUUUUUCUUUGUACUUAAAAAUCGCCUCUCCCAUCUGCUGCUGAAGGACCACCACUCAUUUUACCUCCUUAUCAUGCAGCCUGCGCUGAUCCAGCAUCAGAGAAACAGCUCAGACCAGGGAUUGUUGGGGGGGGAGGGAGGAUAAUACAUAAAUAUGGGUUGUCUACAGGUUAUGGUGAAAACUUCAGGUGACUCCAUGGCCACAGCCAUGCAAUUUUUUGGUAGCAAUACAGAAGCAGUUCCUAUUACAGGUAGUCCUUGCUUAGCAACCACAAUUGGAACCGACAACUCCAUUGCUAAGCGCUGCAGUUGCUAAGGGGAAAAUCAUGUGACCACAACAAGCUACUGACUUUACUUCCCAUCUGGUCAUUAAGCAAGACAUCACGUGACUGCAACUUGCAAUUUUACUUCCGCAUUUUCCAUUAACUCUGCUGGUCAGAAACCAGUUGUGAAGUACACAAAUGGCAAUCACGUGACCACACAGCGCUGUAACAGUCAUAAAUGUCACUAGUUGCAAAGUGCCCCAAUGGUGAUCAUGUGACCAUGGGAUGCUGUGACGGUCAUAAAUGCAAAGACUGGUCGCAAAGCUGUUUUUUUAAACCAUCGUAACUUUGAAUGGUCACUAAAUGAGGCAGUCAGUAAGCGAGGACUACCCUCUUUUGGGGUGUUAUUAUGACUUUCUAAUUCAACCUACAGCCAUGUCGAUAUCCCACCUUAGUUCUAUCCAAAUAUGACAUACCUUAGUUUUUUCUGAUCACAUGUAAUUUUCUUGCCAACAGUAAGGAAAUCCUUUUCCAACUGUCAUCAUCUUUUUUUAAUUUCCUAGUCUACAUACAGCCUCUUGGUGGUCUCCCAUACACAAAAUUAUUGGAUCAGCCUUAUGAAAUCAGCCAAGGUUGGCUGUGAGCUGUCAUCUAGCUGGGAAGGCUUCAAAAAGUCCCAGUAAUUAUUUCUGCUAAUCCUGGCCUCAGAUUAGGAACAAAUUGUUUUGAAAAUAAAAUAACUGAUGUUUUAAAUUUGUUGUAUUAAAGCCAAGACUUCAACCCUACAGACAGUUAUAUAGGAUUUACAUCUACAUAAGCAUACAGGGGAUUGCCCUAUUCAGUUAAUGUAGGACAGGCACAAGAAAAGGAUUUUUGGCUCAACUUCCAAUAAUCUUUGCAAAUAACCUCUAGGAAAAACAUUAUUUGUCCCUUUGCUAGCAACUUGCUGUGUGAAGAGAAAGCAUUGAAAAGACAAAGAGAGAGAGAAAGAGAGCAUCUGAAAGUGAGAAACCCUCACCCAUUUUUGACUCUAAUGCCAUCUGCCAUUAGAAUACAAUGCCCAGGUGAUUGCUUCUUGAUUCCCUGGAAUAAGAGGAAGGACUAGACCUACCAUGAUGCCCUACAAUUUCAUGUUGGCUGAGUUGGUAAGAAUUGUA